CGGGAUAGCUCAGCUGGUAGAGCAGAGGACUGAAAUC
rnacentral:tRNA from 2 species